AUGAACGCUGGCGGCGUGCCUAAUACAUGCAAGUCGAACGCUGGAAAUCUAGCUUGCUAGAUUGAAGGAGUGGCGAACGGGUGAGUAAUACAUAAGCAACCUACCCACGAAGACUGGGAUAAUCUCUGGAAACGGGGACUAAUACCGGAUAGGUAAUCGGAAGGCAUCUUCUGAUUAUUAAAGGUUAAAAACACUGGUGGAUGGGCUUAUGGCGCAUUAGUUAGUUGGUGAGGUAACGGCCCACCAAGACGAUGAUGCGUAGCCGGCCUGAGAGGGUGAACGGCCACAUUGGGACUGAGACACGGCCCAGACUCCUACGGGAGGCAGCAGUAGGGAAUUUUCGGCAAUGGGGGAAACCCUGACCGAGCAACGCCGCGUGAGUGAUGACGGCCUUCGGGUUGUAAAGCUCUGUUGUAAGGGAAGAACGGUAGAUAGAGAAUAUCUAAGUGACGGUACCUUACCAGAAAGCCACGGCUAACUACGUG
rnacentral:rRNA from 1 species